GCGGGGGUGCCCGAGCCUGGGCUAAGGGGGCGGACUCAAGAUCCGCUGGCGUAGGCCGUCCGGGGUUCAAAUCCCCGCCCCCGCACCA
rnacentral:tRNA from 1 species